AUUUUGGCCCACGUGGGCUGUCUGUUCAGUACAGACAUGACGUCUGUGGGUGUCCGCCAGCACAAACAGGACGUCCGUGGCUGCCUGUGUGAGUCCGUGUGUGUCCGUCUGUGUCCGUCAGCACACACAGGAUGUCCGUGGCUGUCCAUCAGUACACAUAUCAGCACGUUGGUCCUUGGACUCAGCACGCUGGCCCUUCCCGUGGACUGUUUGGGUG
rnacentral:lncRNA from 1 species